rnacentral:rRNA from 1 species
UAAUACAGAGGGGGCUAGCGUUGUUCGGAAUUACUGGGCGUAAAGGGCGCGUAGGUGGCCUGUUAAGUCGAACGUGAAAUCCCCGGGCUCAACCCGGGAACUGCGUCCGAGACUGGCAGGCUCGAAUCCGGGAGAGGGAUGUGGAAUUCCAGGUGUAGCGGUGAAAUGCGUAGAUAUCUGGAGGAACACCGGUGGCGAAGGCGGCAUCCUGGACCGGUAUUGACGCUGAGGCGCGAAAGCCAGGGGAGCAAACGGGAUUAGAUACCCCGGUAGUCCUGGCCCUAAACGAUGAAUGCUUGGUGUGGCGGGUAUCGAUCCCUGCCGUGCCGAAGCUAACGCAUUAAGCAUUCCGCCUGGGGAGUACGGUCGCAAGGCUG